UACGUAGGUGGCAAGCGUUGUCCGGAAUUAUUGGGCGUAAAGCGCGCGCAGGCGGUCCUUUUAAGUCUGAUGUGAAAGCCCACGGCUCAACCGUGGAGGGUCAUUGGAAACUGGGGGACUUGAGUGCAGGAGAGAAGAGUGGAAUUCCACGUGUAGCGGUGAAAUGCGUAGAGAUGUGGAGGAACACCAGUGGCGAAGGCGACUCUUUGGCCUGUAACUGACGCUGAGGCGCGAAAGCGUGGGGAGCAAACAGG
rnacentral:rRNA from 1 species